rnacentral:rRNA from 1 species
GAUGAACGCUGACAGAAUGCUUAACACAUGCAAGUCGACUUGAACUUCGGUUUGGGUGGCGGACGGGUGAGUAACGCGUAAAGAACUUGCCUCACAGCUAGGGACAACAUUUGGAAACGAAUGCUAAUACCGGAUAUUAUGAUUUUAGGGCAUCCUAGAAUUAUGAAAGCUAUAUGCGCUGUGAGAGAGCUUUGCGUCCCAUUAGCUAGUUGGAGAGGUAACGGCCCACCAAGGCGAUGAUGGGUAGCCGGCCUGAGAGGGUGAACGGCCACAAGGGGACUGAGACACAGCCCUUACUCAUUCGGGAGGCAGGAGUGGGUGAUAUUUGACAAAGGACCAAGAGUCUGAUCCAGCAGUUCUGUGUGGACGAUGAAGUUUUUCGGAAUGUAAAGAGCUUUCAGUUGGGAAGAAAAAAAUGACGGUACCAACAGAAUAAGUGACGGCUAAAUACGUG